UAGUGUCUUAUCCUUCAAUCAAACUCAUUCAUUCGUCCACACUAUGUUUUAAAAUGUGUGACCGACAGAAGUCUUCUUCUGAAAUUCCUAUCGUCGACGAAUUUAUCUAUAUCGCUUUGACGGGGAGAUCUUCCUACUCUACUUUGAUGACAUUGUUUUUAAGUAUAUCUGCUUGCGGACAUUAUUUUGUCUAUUUAAGUAUUAUAUGUUUAGAUUGAAUCUAUAUUUAUAUAUUUAUUUUACACUUUAUAUCAAUUCAUAAAAAUCUGAAUGUUACUAUUUACUUUCUUUGCAAACUGUUCUACAAUGACAAAAAACUAAACCUAAAGGAAUAUUUAUGCUGAUGUCAUGUUUUAAAAUGUGUGUAUUAUUACAGAUCAGUAUGGCAUGUGAAUGUACCCUGUUUGGGAGACAAUUGACAGUUGACUGCUUGAUUGCUCGCAUUAGAUAUGCCACUGAGAAUCAAAUGCCACAAUUAUUAUAGUAAUGAAGAAGAAAAGUGUAGCGAAAACAUAUCCAGAUAAAAUUCCAAUGAAUUCUUGCUGAUUUUUUCUCCAAAGCAAAGAAAACAUGUUUGUUGUUGACUUGCAGCCCAUUGAUUGAUGAUGAUGAUUAUAUGUGCCAUGAUAAGUGCAUCAACAGAUGUCAAUAUAACUUUAUUUAGAAAAAAUUAAAUGAUUCACAACAAUUUCAACGCAGAUGACAUUGUAGUAAUUGAUACCAUCAACUGAUCCAUCAAAAAAAGUAUGCCAUGAACUAUAUUUUACCACAUUAGGAAGUUUAAGUGUAUUCUGCUGAGCUUUCAUGUAAGCUGUGAAAUUCUUUCAUGUUCUUACCUGCUGUUGGGUAGUUGUUUCCAAGUCUUCUUUAUUAAAUCUUUCAAUCCAUUUUCUUCAUUUAUGCUACCAUUAAUUUUUUCCUCCCUCAAUUGAAAGUUACCAAGCAUUUAUGAGCAUAAAUAUGUUUACUGUUUACAUCAUAGGAUACAACAUUAGUUUUUAAGGAACUAACAAUUAAAGUUGUUAUUGUUUUUUAGCUGUUACCAGAAAACACACAGCUAAAGAUCUAAAAUAGAAUUUAUAUAAAGAUAUCUCUGUGUGUCUUUAUGUAUGUGUGUGUGUGAAACAGAGAGGGGGCUGAAUGUGUGAGUGUAUGUUUGAUAUGUGUUCAAAGAUCUGUAUAUAAAAUAUGGUAGUUACUCCCACUUUAUCAUUAGUAAUCAAGGCCUUUCUUAAUUUGACACUAAUUGCCAUUUCUAUACAACAUCCAUGUAUAAAACUUUACCAAACAGACACAUAUCCCAUGAAGUAUUUAUUUCUUACGCUUCUUUUAAGUUGUUUUGAUGACCGAGGUCACUAGUAAGCUCCGCGUCAUCGCUUGCCCUCCUCCAGCUUGAUGACUUUUCGCCAAUGAACGCGAGGACGAAAUUUUUCAUCAGAUAAACUUUUUGCUCUGGGCAAAUAUCCGUUCUUCAUUGCAGCUUGUCAACAUUAUUUUACAUUAUCUUAUAUUACAGGCCGUACUACUCUCUUCCUUCGUCUUGUCUUCCACUCAAACCGUGCAAAGUCGUGUGUUCGCGUGCGUGUGUAAUAGAGGGAGACAACAAGAGAAAAACAAAAUGAAAGAAAAGUUAUUGAAUGUACAUCAAAACAAAGCUUUGUUUUCAGCCUUUUACAAACCUGUACUUAUAAUUUUUGUACCAACAAGUCCACACAUGAAGACUCACCACCAACAUUGCCGUUUACAGCGCUGGAACUAUCAAGGUAACUGUGUGUCCUGAUCCUGGACUUUCUCUUGACAUCAACACUAACAAGUCUAUUAACAAGUCUAUUAACAAGUCUAUUAACAGGAUGUCUUUCCCUUAAAAACGAUAUGAACCUCGAUACUAACCGGUUGCUCAGUGUUUUUUAUUGGCGGCAUCUACAACCACACCAGGUAAAGACACAACUUGGUCGCCAUCCUCCACAUGAUGAGGGUAAGCUUCAUGCUCUCUACUAAAUACAUAAACGCUCUUUAUAAAUACUUAAGUCAAAUCCACCAUGUAUGUGUGAGUUUUUUUCCCAAUUGGAAUCUACUAAUAUUUAACACCCUUCCCCUUUUAAUGGUUUUCGAUAUUAAUGCCCUGGUCAAAUGAAGCUUGGAGAGACUGGUCACGUGGUGAGCAUUGCUUGUAUUGACAUCAAACACACUGUGCUUUAUUUUCCUGAAAAUGUUUCUAAAACCAGUUCAGGAUUCUGUCGACAGUCGACCUUUCUGCUCCACACAAGUGUCCGUUCAGCCAGAUUACAGAGAGCAAACACAUUAUAAACCGGACAAACACACAGUGUCAACUGUAAACAUCUUCCUGGUUUCUUCCACGGAGCAGAGACAACAUACAACAUACUUGAUAUCUACUGCAAGUCUACACAGUCGCCUGUUUAUUUGUAAACAUGAUGAAGAUCUCAGUCUUCUUGCUGCUUGUCUUCACUGAGAUGGUGUUGUGCUAUACAAGAGAAAGCACUUGUGAAAGUUUUCGGUGGCUUGACAGUAAAGGCAAAGGAAGUUGUGAUUUCAAGACAGACUUCUGCGGUUGGACAAACAACUACAAGUGGAGAGUCGGCUGUGCUACAACCAUUACAGAAACUGCUGCUUUGUGGAAAUUAAGAAUAAUGAGAUAGAACAGCAACUGAUGUCACCACAGCUUUGUGGUACUGAGGACGUCCACUACACAAUGAAUCUCAGCUAUGAAAUUCCAAAACCAAACAAGUACACACUGUCUGUGUAUCUGAUGACGGACCGAAAUGGGAAAAUGUUAUGGCAGACUGGUAACAAGCAGGACUUUUUAACUGAAGAGCUUCACUUCACUUUGCCUCAAGUACCGUUCAAGAUCAUGAUUGAAGGCGAACAGAAGGCGAAUAAGUGGAAGCAGGGUCAAAGCAUACUUAUCUUAGACGUUUUGUUUCAUCAAACGAACAUCAGAUCAAACAAACAAACACGCGUUAUCGAAAGAAAGACCUCUCUAUCUCCACCUGUUGUCACCAAGACAAAGAUCAAGGAUAACGGAAAUAAUUAUCGUACAAACGAUCUUUUGAUGACCACGACAACCACAUCAAUGACGAUGGAUUUUACUUCUCUAUCGGCAGGCAUCACACAGGGAUCGUUGACAGACAAUACCGUACCUGCCACGACACUUUCGCAGUCUAUCAGCAGUAAGUACCCUUUAAUAAAGACAUUUUUAUUGAGAUUAAUGUAGAGUUUCUUAUGGUAUGUCUUGGAACUGCUGAAACAGUAUUUACUAAUUACCUUAAGGACCUUUUAGACAAACCAGAAAUUGUUAAAUGUAAGACUACAUUCGAACAACCAUCUACAUUGUUGUCGUGUAGAAAAUAUUUGCUAGAAUAAACAAUGUGUCUGGUUAUAAAUAACCUUUAAAGAACCUUCUCCCCUACCUCCACAAAAAAUACCACAACUGUUAUACUUCGCUUGCGACUCUUGUUUACAAUGAAAUCAUUCUCUAAAAAUAAAUGCAUGCUGCAGACAAAAGUCCUUGUUACUUGAGCAAAAAGGAAAUUUACUUUAAGUGUCGAUGAGAUAUUAGAAUUCCUUGUCAGCUUAGUGCAGCUGCAAACUGAUUAAACAUAGCAACAUGGAACAGAACAGAUCCCUGGGGUUAAAUUAAUGCAGGCUGAUCGUGUAAGAAUUACCCUGUCACCAAACGUUUACAUGUUGUCACAAGAUGUGAUCUUGUUUGGACCUUAGAUACGCUAAUAUAAACAUAUGUCCACUUUACAUUACUAUUUUAUGUUAUAUGUAUCUAGUGCAUAUUGAUAUAGUAUGAUUUUCUUGUAUAAGAAAUAGACAAACUCCCUUUAGGACACUGGCUACAUUAAAAGCAAAUUUUACUUGUGCUACCACUAUCCUUCAGAAAGAAUUGUUACUGUAAUUGUCAUUGUAGUCAGCUGUGACAUGUUAAUAACUACAACAUGCAUCUCACUGCAGGCGUUAAUUCAACGGAUGGUUUUAUGAUUACCAUUGGCCACACAAUAAUGUUGAAAACUUGUUCUUAGUAUUCCUCUUCCUUUUUUCUUUGUUCUCUUACUGUAUCAUCUUCGAGACAAAAGACUAGUAAUUAAACCGUUCAUAUAUACAUAUAGAACAGAGAAGCCGUAAUUUGCUGAAACGAUUUAGUCCAUACACGCGGGGUAGUAGACCUCAGGUAAUUUAAUGCGCCUGAAUGUGCUAAUACAUUCUAAUACACAUACAGGCCAGUGACGAUUGAACACGCGAGCCACUAACACAAUACAAAAAUAAAUGUUUGGUUGUUACUUUUCAUUCAAGUUGUUUUGACGACAGAGGUCAUCAGUAAGCUUCUCGUCAUCGCUUGCCCUCCUCCAGCUUGAUGACUUCCCGGCAAUGAGCGCGAAUGCGAAAUAGUUCAUCAGAAAAAACUUCUGGGCUGGGCACAGUGUGUUGACAAUAUCCGUUCUGUAUUGCAGUUUGUCGACAUUAUCUACUUACAGGCCUACUAGUCGCUUCCUUCGUCUCGUGUAUUACACUAAAACCGUGCAAAGUCGCGUGUUCGCGUGCGUGUGUAUUAGAGGGAGACAACAAGAAAGAAACAAAAUGAAAGAAAGAAAAGCCGUUGAAUAUACAUCAAAAGGAAAGCUUUGUUUUCAGCCUUUUACAAAUAUGUUCUGAUAAGUUUUUGUACCGACAAGUCCGCACAUGAAGACUCACCAGCAACAUCGCCGUUUACAGCGCUGGAAAUGACAUGGUAACUGUGUGUCCUGAUCCUGGACUUUCUCUUGACAUGAACACUAACAAGUCUAUUAUCAAGCUGGCUUUCCCUUAAAACGAUAUGAACCUCGAUAUUAACCUGAUACUCUGUGUUUGUUAUUGGAGGCAUCUACAACCAAAUGAUGGGGGAUAUACUUCUUGUUCGCUACUGGAUACAUAAAUGCUGUUUAUAAAUACUAAAGUCAUAUCCAGCCUGCAUUCUUGUGUUUGUUUUCAAUUAGAAAAUACUAAUAUUUAACACUUUUCCCUUAUCACUGGACUUCUAUAUUUAUACAAUGGUUAAAUGAAGCGUAGAGAGACUGGUCACGAGAUGAUCAUUGCUUACAUUGGCAUCAAACACAUUGUGCUUUAUUUUCUUAUAAACGUUUCUAAAAACAGUUCAGGAUUCUGUCGACAUUUGACCUUGCUGCUCCAGACAAGUCAUCCAAUCAGUAAGAUUACAGAGAGCAAAUUAUAAACCGGACAAACACACACAGAGUCAACUGUAAACAUCUUCCUGGUUUCUUCCACGGAGCAGAGACAACAUACAACACACUGGGCAUCUACUGCAAGUCUACACAGUCGCCUGUUUAUUAGUAAACAUGAUGAAGAUCUCAGUCUUCUUGCUGCUUGUCUUCACUGAGAUAGUGUUGUGCUAUACAAGAGAAAGCACUUGUGAAAGUUUUCGGUGGCUUGACAGUAAAGGCAAAGGAAGCUGUGAUUUCAUGACAAACUUCUGCGGCUGGACAAACAACUACAAGUGGGAGAUAGGCUGGUGUUACAACCAUAACAGAAACUGCUGCUUUGUGGAAAUGAAGAAUAAUGAGAUAGAACAGCAACUGAUGUCACCACAGCUUUGUGGUCGUGAGGACGUCCACUACACAAUGAAUCUCCGCUAUGAAAUUCCAAAACCAAACAAGUACACACUGUCUGUGUAUUGAUGACGGACCGAAAUGGGAAAAUGUUAUGGCAGACUGGUAACAAGGAGGACGUUUUAACUGAAGAGCUUAACUUCACUUUGCCUCAAGUACCGUUCAAGAUCAUGAUUGAAGGCGAACAGAAGGCGAAUAAGUGGAAGCAGGAUCAAAGCAUACUUAUCUUAGACGUUUUGUUUCAUCAAACGAACAUCAGAUCAAACAAACAAACACGCGUUAUCGAAAGAAAGAGCUCUCUAUCUCAACUUGUUGUCACCAAGACAAAGAUCAGUAAUAACGGAAAUAAUUAUCGUACAAACGAUCUUUUCAUGACCACGACAACCACAUCAAUGACGAUGGAUUUUACUUCUCUAUCGACAAGCCUCACACUGGGAUCGUUGACAGACAAAACAAUAUCUACCACGACACUUUCGCAGUCUAUCAGCAGUAAGUACCCUUUAAUAAAGACAUUUUUAUUGAGAUUGAUGUAGAGUUUUUUUUUACUAUGUCGUGGAACUCCUGUAACAAGAUUUAUUCAAUUACCUUAGGGACCUUUUAAACCAACCACAAAUGUUUAAACCUAUGACUAUAUUCAACCAAAAGCUUACAUUGUUGUCAUGAAGAAUAUAUUUACUAGAAUAAAUAAUGUGUCUGGUUAUAAAUAACCUUCAAAGUACAUUACCUUCUCCCCCACCUCCUCAAAAAUACAAAUGAUAUACUUUCCUUGCGACACUUGUUUACAAUGAAAUAAUUCCCCAAAAGUAAAUGCAUGCUGCAGACAAAAGUCCUUGUUACUUGAGCAAAAGGAAAUUUACUUUAAGUGUCGAUGAGAUAUUAGACUUUCUUAUCAGCUUAGUGCAGCUGCAAUCUGCUUAAAGCAUAGCAACAGGGAACAGAACAGAUCCCUGGGGUUAAAUGAUUGCAGGCUUAUCGUGGAAGGAAUUACCCUGUCACCAAAUGUUUACAUGCUGUCACAAGAUGUGAUCAUGUUGGACCUUAGAUACGCUAAUGUAAACAUCUGUCCACUUUACAAUUACUACCUUAUAAGUUAUAUGUAUCUUAAUAGAUAUAGUAUGAUUUACUUGUUAAAGAAAUGGCUUACCGCCCUUUAGGACAAUGGCUACAUUAAAAGCAAAUUUUACUUGUGCUACCACUCUCCUUCAGAAAGAAUUGUUACUGUAAUUGUCGUUGAAGUCAGCUGUGACAUCCUUCUAUCUUUGCAGUGUCAGAGAAUGAAACCCAUGCGAGUGAUGCCACCACCUCUGAUACACAGUCAGCAAACUCCACCAGUGAUCUGACAACAGUAGCAGCAGCAGUGGCAGGGGCUGUUAUCGCUUUUCUUAUUUCCGUUAUCAUUGUCGUCGUACUCAUCAGAAGAAAAACAAAAAACACUCGAAAUUCGCUGCCUACAGUUAACCCUUGUCUCCUUCCUGUCAACACUGCUUGUGGACACCUCAACCCUUCUGUUGCAGCGCGAUCCGACCCAGACAACUAUGAUUGUGUGCAAGAUGCUCCUAGAGGAAAACAACGAGGUGCAGCUGGAGCAACCGGCUCCUCAACGUUGGCUGCUGACGACAUCUACAACCACACACACGACAGUGACAACAAGCAGCUUGGUCGUCAUGGUGAAGGUGGAGGAGGUCUAUACUCCACUUUGGCUACUGAAGACACCUACAGUCAUCUGCAAGGCAAGGAGCACCACAGAUUUGAUCGGCAGGGUGACGGCAAUAAAAACCCACAUUUAGUCACAGCUCCUGAGGACCAUUACAACCAUCUGUAACAUCCUAUCUUCUGGGGCGAAAUUACUGUAAGACAGUCGAUCAUGGGACUGCAUGAGCAUCACUCACACAGGUGUAGUGUCUACCUCCUGACAUGUUUUGCUAACGCCCUCAUGUUUCGUGACAUCCUUCAUUCAAACUCAUUCAUUCGUCCACACUAUGUUUUAGAAUGUGUUACUGACAGAAGUCUUCUUUGAAAUUCCUAUCGUCGACGAAUUUACCUAUAUCGCUUUGACGGGGAGUUCUUCCUCCUUUACUUUGAUGAUAUUGUUUUUAAGUAUAUCUGCUUGUCGACAUUAUUUUGUCUAUUUAAGUAUUCUAUGUUUAGAUUGAAUUUAUAUUUAUAUAUUUGUUUAUUUUACACUUGAUAUCAAUUAUAAAAAUGUUACUAUUUACUUUGUGCAAACUGUUAGACAAUGACAAAAAACUAAACCUAAAGGAAUAUUUAUGCUGACGUCAUGUUUUAAAAUGUGUGUAUUACAGAUCAGUAUGGCAUGUGAACGUACCAUUUCGGGAGACAAUUGACAGUUGACUACUUGAUUGCUCGCCUUAGAUAUGCCACUGAGAAUCAAAUGCUACAAUUAUUAUAGUAAUGAAGAAGAAAGGUGUAGCGAAAGCAUAUCCAGAUAAAGUUCCAAUGAUUUCUUGCUGAGUUUUUCUGCCAAGCAAAGAAAACAUGUUUGUUGUUGACUUGCAGCCCAUUGAUUGAUGAUGAUGCUUAUAUGUGCCAUGAUAAGUGCAUCAACAGAUGUCAAUAUAACUUUGUUUAUAAAAAAUUAAAUGAAUCUAUUCUAUUUUUUCCUCCCUCAAUUGAAAGUUACCAAGCAUUUAUGAGCACAAAUAUGUUUACUGUUUACAUCAUAGGACAAAACAUUAGUUUUUAAGGAACUAACAAAGUUGUUAUUGUUUUUUAGCUGUUACCAGAAAACACACAGAAGCUAAAGAUCUAAAAUACCAUUUAUAUAAAGAUAUCUCUGUGU
rnacentral:misc_RNA from 1 species